UACAGAGGUGGCAAGCGUUGUUCGGAAUUACUGGGCGUAAAGGGCGCGUAGGCGGUUUGUCGCGUCUGCCGUGAAAGUCCGGGGCUCAACUCCGGAUCUGCGGUGGGUACGGGCAGACUAGAGUGAUGUAGGGGAGACUGGAAUUCCUGGUGUAGCGGUGAAAUGCGCAGAUAUCAGGAGGAACACCGAUGGCGAAGGCAGGUCUCUGGGCAUUAACUGACGCUGAGGAGCGAAAGCAUGGGGAGCGAACAGG
rnacentral:rRNA from 1 species